rnacentral:rRNA from 1 species
GUGCACCAGGCGCGAAACUUCACACUGUGCGAAAGCACGAUGAGGGAAUCCUAAGUGCUUGCACGUAAGUGUAAGCUGUUUCUCUGUCUAAAACGCAGAGAGAGUAAGGGCUGGGUAAGACGGGUGCCAGCCGCCGCGGUAAUACCUGCAGCUCAAGUGGUGACCGUUAUUAUUGGGCCUAAAACGUCCGUAGCCGGUUUAAUAAAUGCCUGGGUAAAUUGUGUAGCUUAACUAUACGAAUUCCGGGUAGACUGUUAAACUUGAGACCGGGAGAAGUUAGAGGUACUCCUGGGGUAGAGGUGAAAUUCUGUAAUCCUAGGGGACCGCCAGUGGCGAAGGCGUCUAACUAGAACGGGUCUGACGGUGAGGGACGAAGCCCUGGGGCGCAAACGGGAUUAGAUACCCCUGUAGU